GGAAAGGCUCAGAGGUAGAGCAUUUGCCUGGCAGGCAGAAGGUCCCAGGUUCAUUCCCUGGCAUCUCCA